AACGAACGCUGGCGGCGUGGAUAAGACAUGCAAGUCGAACGGGAACUUCAGCUGUAGCAAUACAGUUGAAGUUUUAGUGGCGAACGGGUGCGUAACACGUGGGCAAUCUGCCGAGAAGUGGGGGAUAGCUCGCCGAAAGGCGAAUUAAUACCGCAUAUGAUCAGCUAAGACAUCUUAGCGACAUCAAAGCCGGGGCAACCUGGCGCUUUUUGAGGAGCCCGCGGCCUAUCAGCUAGUUGGUGAGGUAACGGCUCACCAAGGCUAUGACGGGUAGCUGGUCUGAGAGGACGACCAGUCACACUGGAACUGAGACACGGGUCCAGACACCUACGGGUGGCAGCAGUCGAGAAUUUUUCNCAAUGGGGCAACCCUGAAGGAGCGACGCCGCGUGGAGGAUGAAGGUCUUCGGGUUGUAAACUCCUGUCAUUUGAGAACAAGGUGCAUCGAGUAACUACCGAUGCAUUGAUAGUAUCAG
rnacentral:rRNA from 1 species